GUUUGGACAUUUUCGAGAUAGAGGAGCCUUUGAACGGCCGCCGCCGCGGGCGGCGACGAAGAAAUGUUGGCCUUCGCCGCCGUUAUCUUCUCCCCCGCUCCCGGCACGCUCUCCGGUAGAACAAUCCGCUCCCCUUCUGUCUCCCGCCCAAUCCUCGCUCGAUGCGUUAAGAAAACCACCCCGGAACCACCCCAGUCCAUCUUGUUCUCACUGGGAUCCGCGCGCUCCUGCCGCCGGCCAUGGGUGCCACGUUGCCUCCGCGCGCUCGCCGCCGCCGGCGCCGCUCUCGCGCUCGUGCUCUGUCCUCCGGAUAUCAUCCCUGCCCAUGCCUCCUCCAUGGGCGAGCGUCUGAAGCCGAGUACCCCGUAUCCCUGCGAAGACGUCCGGAGGUAUUACGAGGGCAUGGAGGGCUUGUCCGGUGACGUGCUGAUGGCGAAGCUCGGCGCUGUCGUCUCGCCUCACGCCUCACUGCGCUACAAAGAUGUGUGGGAAGCGCUCAAGAUUCUGGAUGCAGCUGAUGCAGACCACCCAGAAGCCUCCUCUGAAGUGAUCGAGAUAUACUCGCAGAGAGCCGUGCCGAAGCUCUUGGCAGGCAAGUCGGAUGGAUGGAACAGAGAACACCUCUGGCCGCGAUCAUAUGGGCUAACCCGCCGUCCUUCUCUAACCGAUCUGCACAACAUUCGUCCUGCCGAUGCUAAUGUGAACUCGUCCAGGGGAAACAAGUAUUAUGGAGGAUGUGCUGCUACGUCAAAAAAAUGUUCGAGGCCAGCAAAUCGUGAAGCUGCACCUGACACUGAAACAAACAGUGAAAGAUGGGCACCUCCUUUUCAGGUGCGUGGAGAUGUAGCUAGGUCCCUGAUGUACAUGGCUGUGAGCUAUGGAUCCGGACAAAAAGAUGCAGCUCCACAUUUAGAACUUUCUGAUUCGCCAAGUAGUCAGGGUCAACAAAAAGGUUACAUUGUUAGGGGGUUAGUUGAGCGCGGCGGGGGAGGGAAAUAAAACUAAGUUUAAGAAUUGCCUGGUUAUAGCUAGAUGGCUGCAGAAGAUCAUUCAGAUUUCAAGAAAGGAGGAGGAUGGGCCUCCUUUCAGCUCUUCUACAAUGGAAUGAACUAGAUCCACCAUCGAGAUCAGAGCAACGUCGGAAUGAUAGAGUUUGUAGCCUUUACCAGCACAACCGAAAUCCUUUUGUCGAUCAUCCAGAGUAUGCUAAUCUUAUAUGGAGGAACACACCUAGCAAAAUUCCAAGUGUGACCGGAAAAAUAGUGAAAGGCUUGGGUCAAUGAGUUCCACUACAAAAACAAAGGGAAAUAUGAGAAUGAGGUGCUCGGUCAUUGGUUGACCCUAUUUUCUCUGGUA